rnacentral:rRNA from 1 species
UACGUAGGGUGCGAGCGUUGUCCGGAAUCAUUGGGCGUAAAGAGCGUGUAGGCGGACUUAAAGGUCUGGUGUGAAAGCCCGGGGCUCAACCCCGGAGGGUCACUGGAAACCAUAAGUCUUGAAUCUGGAAGAGGAGAGUGGAAUUCCUGGUGUAGCGGUGGAAUGCGCAGAUAUCAGGAGGAACACCGGUGGCGAAGGCGGAUCUCUGGGCCAUAACUGACGCUGAGGAGCGAAAGCAUGGGGAGCGAACAGG